UCCUCCAAUUCGUCGCCGCUGCCCCUCCCGCUCCUCUCUCGCUGCCACUCGUCCUGCUCCUCUCCCCAGUUUCUUCUUCUUCCCCCCUCCCUACUCGCCAUGCCCCGGUCGUGCAUAGAAGGAGGAGCACAGAGAAGGGGCACUGGGACGUGCCACGUCCAGUGAGGGUCAGAGAGGGAGAAACAGUGAAUAGGGUACUGACGGAGGAGGAAGAGAGACCCAGCGGCGCGCUGCAUCUCCCUCUAUCUCGGCUUCUCUUCGUCUCGCGCAGUGGCCGUUGGCCUGCCGGGAUCUGCCCCUCCACCCAACCCCUCUUCGUUUGGGGCAGAAGGAGGUCAUCUACGUUGCCGGUGUCCCAGGCUCCCAGCAGCGUGUCGGGGAAGACUUGCUGCAAGGCGGAGCACGCUCGAGAGACGGCGAUAUACGGAGCUAGGAGUUUAAGGCACACCAUCGUUCUUAGUAUUGGAUCCUGCGCCCAUUUUAACUUCUCAAGAAUAACUGAAUGUAUGAUUACUUCAUAAGCGCCUUAUAGAUAUUGCCAUCUGAUGUGUAAAUAUUGUGGAAGGAAGAUGAACAUAUUCAGGGCAACUAACGGUCAUGAAAUAGGGAAUGAAGUCGCCGAGGCAGCACGAACUCUCG